AAGGCACAUGAUUUAAUCUGAAGAGUAAGCUGCUUCCUGCACUACUGCCGUGUCCGACCCUGUGACAUCAUUGAGAAGAAACUAGAAAAAAAAAAAAAAAAAAUAUGUAAAGGAAAUGAAGUUCUAUUUACUUAUAAUCUCUGUGAAGAAUCCCAAUAAACAACAAACAAAAGAAAAAAAAAUAACUUAAAAAGCCAUUUAUUCACAGAAUUACUGUAAUUUAUACUUUAUACUAGCUACACAUCCCAUGAUUAAAAUAAAUGUUAUUCUGAUAUUUGUAAAAGGAAAAGGUGACAGGAACACUUUAAGCACCAUAACCACUAAAGGGAGCUGCAGUGAUUAUGGCGCGUGGAGUGUUCCUUUAAGUCUCCUCUAGAGCAGAUAGAUGUAUGUUGGAAUUUUAGAUUCAUUAAAUAAUCUUUGUGGCUGUACCCCAGCUUCCAGUAUUCCCUUUUAAGUGUGUUACUGGAUAAAACAUUAGGAAACGCAAGAAUUGAAUUAAAAAUAUUGGGGCACAGUGGCUAGCUUUGACCUUUAUGGACAACUUUCAGCUUUUAUUUCUGGGUCUUCAGCUAAGACUUGAUGGACUGGGUCUUCAGCUAAGACUUGAUGGUCACACUUUCUCCCCAGGGAACAGAAUUCUCCCCAUCGUUUCAGAACUUCGUGGUUCCCAUGUCGCCAUAAGCACACAUUUCUCAGAAUACCAUGAUGUCAGUUUUUUUGUCUAUCUACCUUGAAAUAUGUUUUACAUCCCAGUAUAGCUACAUGUCGCAGGAAACACCUAAAUCAUACUUGAUCCGAACCAUAACUACGUCACUUAUGUUCCUGUACUGUGUGCUUUGAAGUUCUGUAGAUACUCUGCAUUCUCUAUAACUCAUUGUUGGGUUAAUGAACCUUCUUCUGUAAACCUUUGC